GCGGUGAAAUGCGUAGAUAUCGAGAGGAACACCUGCGGCGAAGGCGGGUUGCUGGGCCGACACUGACGCUGAGGCGCGAAAGCCAGGGGAGCGAACGGGAUUAGAUACCCCGGUAGUCCUGGCCUUAAACGAUGGAUGCUUGGUGUCUGGGGUUUUAUAGUCCCCGGGUGCCGUAGCUAACGCGUUAAGCAUCCCGCCUGGGGAGUACGGUCGCAAGACUGAAACUCAAAUGAAUUGACGG
rnacentral:rRNA from 1 species